GCUGACGAGUCCCAAAUAGGACGAAACGCGCGUUC
rnacentral:hammerhead_ribozyme from 1 species